UGUCAAUGACCUUGACAUACAGGCAGAACUCGUCCUUGGCUGUAAAACAAUCAUCGGGAAAAAUCUGGUUUGGGAUGAAAAACUAAACUGCUUGUUAUGGAUUGAUAUUGAAAGCUCCA
rnacentral:ribozyme from 1 species